rnacentral:rRNA from 1 species
UACGGAGGGGGCUAGCGUUGUUCGGAAUUACUGGGCGUAAAGCGCACGUAGGCGGCUUUGUAAGUCAGAUGUGAAAGCCCAGGGCUCAACCUUGGAAUUGCAUUUGAGACUGCAUAGCUAGGGUGCGGAAGAGGGAAGCGGAAUUUCCGGUGUAGCGGUGAAAUGCGUAGAUAUCGGAAGGAACACCAGUGGCGAAAGCGGCUUCCUGGUCCAGCACCGACGUUCAGGCACGAAAGCGUGGGGAGCAAACAGG